AGCAGCGUGGCUUAGAGGAAAGAGCACAGGCUUCGGAGUCAGAGGUCUUGGGUUCUAAUCCCAGCUCCGCUG
rfam:Ornithorhynchus anatinus chromosome 7, whole genome shotgun sequence.